rnacentral:rRNA from 1 species
GCAAGUCGCACGAGAAAGGGACUUCGGUCCUGAGUACAGUGGCGCACGGGUGAGUAACACGUGAAUUAUCUACCUUCGAGUGGGGAAUAACUGAGAGAAAUCUUAGCUAAUACCGCAUAAUACCUACGGGUCAAAGCAGCAAUGCGCUUGAAGAGGAGUUCGCGGCAGAUUAGUUAGUUGGCGGGGUAAUGGGCCACCAAGACGAUGAUCUGUAUCCGGCCUGAGAGGGCGCACGGACACACUGGAACUGAAACACGGUCCAGACUCCUACGGGAGGCAGCAGUGGGGAAUUUUGCGCAAUGGGGGAAACCCUGACGCAGCAACGCCGCGUGGAGGAUGAAAUCCCUUGGGAUGUAAACUCCUUUCGAUCGGGAAGAUAAUGACGGUACCGAGAGAAGAAGCCCCGGCUAAUUUCGUGCCAGCAGCCGCGGUAAUACGAGGGGGGCAAGCGUUGUUCGGAAUUAUUGGGCGUAAAGGGUGCGUAGGCGGUUUGAUAAGUCACAUGUGAAAUCUUCGGGCUCAACCCGAAGUCUGCAUGCGAAACUGUCGGGCUUGAGUAUGGGAGAGGUGAGUGGAAUUUCCGGUGUAGCGGUGAAAUGCGUAGAUAUCGGAAGGAACACCUGUGGCGAAAGCGGCUCACUGGACCAUAACUGACGCUGAUGCACGAAAG